ensembl:ncRNA E03A3.11 ncRNA
CAUCACCAAGUUGUCUUCUCUUCCUUUUCUUCUUCUCCUUCUUCAUCCAAACAAUGAUUCCCAGGGGGGCUUACUUACUUG